CCUACGGGAGGCAGCAGUGAGGAAUUUUCUGCAAUGGGCGAAAGCCUGACAGAGCAAUACCGCGUGAGGGAUGAAGACUUACUGAGUUGUAAACCUCGGUGCCUUAAGGAAGAAGAUCUGACGGUACUUAAGGUGGAAAGCAUCGGCUAACUCCGUGCCAGCAGCCGCGGUAAGACGGGGGAUGCAAGUGUUAUCCGGAAUUACUGGGCGUAAAGCGUCUGCAGGUGGUUUUAUAAGUCUGCUGUUAAAUCUUGAGGCUCAACCUCAAAUCUGCAGUGGAAACUAUAAGACUUGAGUAUAGUAGGGGUAGAGGGAAUUUCCAGUGGAGCGGUGAAAUGCGUAGAUAUUGGAAAGAACACCGAUGGCGAAGGCACUCUACUGGGCUAUUACUGACACUCAGAGACGAAAGCUAGGGGAGCAAAUGGGAUUAGAUACCCCAGUAGUCCUAGCCGUAAACGAUGGAUACUCGAUGUUGGACGUAUCGACCCGUUCAGUAUCUUAGCUAACGCGUUAAGUAUCCCGCCUGGGGAGUACGCUCGCAAGAGUGAAACUUAAAUGAAUUGACGG
rnacentral:rRNA from 1 species